rnacentral:lncRNA from 1 species
GCUCUCUCUUUCCAAGUCUCAUAGUAUAUUCAUAUAGACAAACUAGUUAAUUUGAUUAUAGUCAGGUUCCUUGCAUAUGAUCUUAGAUAUACAACAUUUAUACAAUGUAUGCUGAAUUUACUGUGUUAGAAUGUAAUACCGACCAUGCAAGGUUGUUAAAAACUUCCAUUUGUUAGAAUGUAAAAAUUUGCUUGAAUUUAUU